GUGCCAGCAUCAUAUGCUGGCUGUCCAGGUGUGUAAAAUACACCUGUUAGCAAGGGCCGGGCAAGACCGGUGCCAGCCGCCGCGGUAACACCGGCGGCCCGAGUGGUGAUCGUGAUUAUUGGGUCUAAAGGGUCCGUAGCCGGUUUGGUCAGUCCUCCGGGAAAUCUGACAGCUCAACUGUUAGGCUUUCGGGGGAUACUGCCAGACUUGGAACCGGGAGAGGUAAGAGGUACUACAGGGGUAGGAGUGAAAUCUUGUAAUCCCUGUGGGACCACCUGUGGCGAAGGCGUCUUACCAGAACGGGUUCGACGGUGAGGGACGAAAGCUGGGGGCACGAACCGGAUUAGAUACCCGGGUAGUCCCAGCCGUAAACGAUGCUCGCUAGGUGUCAGGCAUGGCGCGACCGUGUCUGGUGCCGCAGGGAAGCCGUGAAGCGAGCCACCUGGGAAGUACGGCCGCAAGGCUGAAACUUAAAGGAAUUGGCGGGGGAGCACAACAACGGGUGGAGCCUGCGGUUUAAUUGGACUCAACGCCGGACAACUCACCGGGGGCGACAGCAAUAUGUAGGCCAAGCUGAAGACUUUGCCUGAAUCGCUGAGAGGAGGUGCAUGGCCGUCGCCAGUUCGUACUGUGAAGCAUCCUGUUAAGUCAGGCAACGAGCGAGACCCGUGCCCACUGUUACCAGCAUGUCCUUCGGGAUGAUGGGUACUCUGUGGGGACCGCCGGUGUCAAAUCGGAGGAAGGUGCGGGCCACGGUAGGUCAGUAUGCCCCGAAUCUCCCGGGCUACACGCGGGCUACAAUGAAUGGGACAAUGGGUCCCUUCCCUGAAAAGGGUUGGCAAUCUCACAAACCCAUCCUUAGUUCGGAUCGAGGGCUGUAACUCGCCCUCGUGAAGCUGGAAUCCGUAGUAAUCGCGUUUCAAUAUAGCGCGGUGAAUACGUCCCUG
rnacentral:rRNA from 1 species